GACAGCAUAGCUCAGUGGUUAGAGCAUGCGAUUGCAGUGGCAAGAAUAUCGCAGGGUCUCGUGUUCGACUCACGAUGUUGUCU